rnacentral:rRNA from 1 species
AAGACCUUGCACUUUUGGAGCGGCCGAUGUCUGAUUAGCUAGUUGGUGGGGUAAUGGCCUACCAAAGCUUCGAUCAGUAGCUGGUCUGAGAGGACGGCCAGCCACGCUGGGACUGAGACACGGCCCAGACUCCUACGGGAGGCAGCAGUGGGGAAUUUUGGACAAUGGGCGCAAGCCUGAUCCAGCCAUGCCGCGUGAGUGAAGAAGGCCUUCGGGUUGUAAAGCUCUUUCAGCCGGGAAGAAAAGGUUGCGACUAAUAAUCGCAAUCCAUGACGGUACCGAAAGAAGAAGCACCGGCUAACUACGUGCCAGCAGCCGCGGUAAUACGUAGGGUGCGAGCGUUAAUCGGAAUUACUGGGCGUAAAGGGUGCGCAGGCGGUUUUGUAAGUCAGAUGUGAAAUCCCCGGGCUUAACCUGGGAACU